GUCUAGGUCAUGUAUUUCGACGUAUGUGUAUAACUUAUUAGUCUUGCUGAUCGGACAUAACGCCGCAGUGAAAAAGCAGAAGGGGAGGCCGCCAGUACCUCUACCUCACUGAAGGGGGCGUGUGUGAGCAUGUAGCUUGUUCUGCUAUUGUUUUUCUUCACAUAUUACAGACAAAUGGCAUUGUGGGUAAUAUGCUAGCUAAAAAAAAAAAAGGAAAGUGCACCGCAUCAGUCCGUCUAUUCAAAUUUUUUGCCCUGGCUGCAAAAAUGGAAGAUUAUAUAUAUGUAAGCUAAAACAUUUCUGAAAGCUGGACUUUCGAUCAAAACUGGAAGUGAUAAAUGAUGAUAAAUACGGUAUUAAAAAGUAUUCGAUUUGAAGUGUUGAUAACUGCAGACGCUGAACUGUACGUUCAGUACGACAUUGUGAAAGUGUAGAAGAGCAGCAUUUUAAUUGAACUCUCUUCCUCUGCCUGUCUGUAUUGCGCUGUUGUGCAGUGAGGUUUGUUAUGCACUUCUACACACUUGUCAUGUGGUGAGAGCCUCACCUCUGCUGAAUAAGAAACUCUGCGGACGGAGGAACUUUCAGGGACACGCAGCGUUCAGGGGGGACGAAAAUGGAGUUUCACUGUAACUCUGUGGAAAGCCGGUCUCUUCGUUCGGUUCGGUCUUUGGGUGGCCGUGACUUUUGACCUCCGCUAAUGAAAAGUCCUCCUGAGACUUUGUUUAGCCUUUGCCAUGUGUGGAAAGCCAUUAUUAUUACUGCGCUCAGAGCAUGUCCGGGUCCACCCGAGAGAGAGAGAACAAAUGCCUGAAGGACGCUUGGAGCUACUCACUGAGGGAGAAGGCACUGUCAAGAGAGAAAGACUGUUUUUACCCACAAUGCCUUUAGUCAGCAGUGACCUCUGAUCCAUCCUGCAUCUGCUUCUCCCAGCUGAGGUGGAGUGAACUCACACUGACCUCUCGACGUGGGACAGAGCUCAGAGCAGCUGGGUCUGAGAGGAAGGUGUGGCGAGGAUAAAACACUUGCUGAAGAAGCUCCACAGUUCCACACUGAUACACAAACUCAUAGCCUGUGUGUCUGUUUAUCUCAGUGAAGGAGGUGGGGCUUCUGUAUCAGUCUCAGUGAAGGAGGUGGGGCUUCUGUAUCAGUCUCAGUGAAGGAGGCAUGGCCUGUGUGUUCGUCUCAGUGAAGGAGGUGGGGCUUCUGUCUCAGUGAAGGAGGCGUGGCCUUUGUAUCUGUCAGUCUCGGUGAAAGAAGUGUGGCUUCUGUAUCAGUGAAGGAGGAGUGGCCUGUGUGCUAGUCUCAGUGAAGGAGGAGUGGCCUGUGUGUUAGUCUCAGUGAAGGAGGAGUGGCCUGUGUGUUAGUCUCAGUGAAGGAGGUGUGGCUUCUGUAUCAGUCUCAGAGGAGUGGCCUGUGUGCUAGUCUCAGUGAAGGAG
ensembl:lncRNA